UUAAUCUUGAGUUAAAAGAAAAUUCAGUUGGACUAGGAUGCUGUUGUCAUGAUGUGAGAACUAUCUUAAAAGUCAAAGCUUAUCGUAGAAAAUCCAAUGCCCUGUCACCAUACAUUUAAUGGAGAGAAUGUCUCGGAAGAAUCCUGUGAUGAUUUACAAAUUGAUCAAAACCGUCAUUCUACAAUAUUAAUGUUAAGUGAAAAAUAUGAAGCUGAUAUUAGCUUUGAACACUGGAAAAGGAAAGAACCAAUUAGCAUCAGCAACUUUAAUUUAAACUUUGAAAAUUUUAGAGAUAAAUUUUCAAAUGAUAAACAUAUUCUUGUUAAUAAUAUAUCAAAAAUAUCAAACUGUAAAAAAUUUGGAUUUGAUAUUAUUAGCAUAAAUCAGUGGAAAAGAAAAGAACCGAUAAACUUUAUAGAUUUAGAUACAAGUUCUGGAAACUUUAGUUAAGAAUCCCAUGCUAAUAAACAGAUUAUCAAUAUAAUUGAAUUAUCUAAAUAUAAAAAAACUGAACUCCACAUUGGCAGCACUACCAGUGUAAAAGAGGAAAAGCCAUAAACAGUAACAAUUUAAACAUAAAUUUGAAAAAUUUUAGUCAUGAAUCUUCUAAUGAUGAAAAGAUAUGAUAACAAUGUAUCUAAAAUAUAAAAAUAUAAAAAUCUAAAGUGACAUUAGUAAGUGGAAAAGAAAAUAGUCCAAAAGUUUUAGAGACACAGAUUCUUAAAGUUCUAGCAAAAAGUCAAAAAGUAUAGCAAGAUAAAAUAACUAGCUUAUGUAAUACAUCUUACAGGAGACUAAUAAAAAGAAAUUUAGUAAUUGGUAUGGAAUCGUUUUAACUUGUAAUGAAUUUCAUAACAAUUAUUCAGAAAAAAGCUAACAUUGAAAAAUAUUCUUAAUUAAAUAGGUUUUAUUUAUUUCAGGAUAUUUGACUCGUCGUCCCAUUCUACGCCACGAAAAAAACAGGAGAUCAGAAUAAAUCAACAAAUAAAAUAACUUCAAAGUUUGACAAAAUUAUAUGAACAAUAAAAAAGCUUUAGAAAUUGAAAAGAUGAAAUUAAGAAAGAAAAAAAUUUUAGAAGUUAUGAGAAAAUUACUUUAACAAAAUAGAAAUCUCCAAAAAUUACUGUAUUGAUAUUUGAUAAAUCUCCAGAGAUUGAAGUGAUUACUCUUGAUGCUGAAGAAUCAUGAUUUUCUGAAAUGCAAAGGUGUUUUCCUGGAAAGCUUUUUACUUCUUUUACAAAUAAUAUCAUUAUUCGUUUCGUACCGUUUCAGUUCUUAAUAAUUUCCCUAGAGAAGAAUAGUGGUUAAACUUAUCUUCAGGCUACAAUCCUGAUCCCAAUUAUAAAGAGAGUCCAAACUUCCUUUUUCAGAAUGUGAUAAGCAGACACACGAGUGAACACCGAGGGCCUUGAACUGGGACACUGACCGUCGCUGUAACUGACAAUUCCAACUUGAACGGGUUCAUCGUCGCUCUCGAGCACAACCAAAGGGGCGCCGCUAUCUCCCUAAAAACGGAAAUUGAAGUAUCGAUCAGAGAGAGAAAUUCUCGUG